rnacentral:rRNA from 1 species
GGACUACCAGGGUAUCUAAUCCCGUUUGCUCCCCUAGCUUUCGUGUUUCAGAGUCAGGAAUUUUCCAGGAAGCCGCCUACGCCACCGGUGUUCCUCUUGAUAUCUACGCAUUUCACUGCUACACCAAGAAUUCCGCUUCCCCCUCCAAUCCUCUAGCCAAGUAGUAUCGAAUGCCAUUUCGCCGUUAAGCGGCGAGAUUUCACACCCGACUGACCUAGCCUCCUACACACCCUUUACGCCCAAUGAAUCCGAACAACGCUCGGGACCUCUGUAUUACCGCGGCUGCUGGCAC